rnacentral:rRNA from 3 species
UCUUCGGAGAGUUUGAUCCUGGCUCAGGAUGAACGCUGGCGGCGUGCCUAAUACAUGCAAGUCGAGCGAACUGAUUAGAAGCUUGCUUCUAUGACGUUAGCGGCGGACGGGUGAG